CUACGGGGGGCACCAGUGGGGAAUAUUGGACAAUGGGGGAAACCCUGAUCCAGCAAUGCCGCGUGUGUGAAGAAGGCCUGCGGGUUGUAAAGCACUUUCGGUUGGGAGGACUGCUUCUAGCACUAAUAUUGUUGGAAGUUGACGUUACCUUCAGAAGAAGCACCGGCUAACUCCGUGCCAGCAGCCGCGGUGAAUACGGAGGGUGCAAGCGUUAAUCGGAAUUACUGGGCAUAAAGCGCGCGUAGGCGGCUAGAUCAGUCGGGUGUGAAAGCCCCGGGCUUAACCUGGGAACUGCAUCCGAUACUGUCUAGCUUGAGUACAGGAGAGGAGAGUGGAAUUCCACAUGUAGCGGUGAAAUGCGUAGAUAUGUGGAGGAACACCAAUGGCGAAGGCAGCUCUCUGGCCUGAUACUGACGCUGAGGUGCGAAAGCGUGGGGAGCAAACAGGAUUAGAUACCCUUGUAGUC
rnacentral:rRNA from 1 species